rnacentral:lncRNA from 1 species
AUCAUGAGAAGCACCAGACUCUUCUCCUCAGAUGUGGUCUCAGGUAUUGUUUUCAAAUUCUGUGGAUGUUGGAACAGUGAAGAACUAGAGAUAACACAGAGGACGUGAAGAUGGCGAGUAAAUAUGUCUCCUGCCUCUGCAUCCAAAGCACGCUGAUGAGAAGACUGUCUCCACAGGAAGAAUGGAUUUGUACAGUGCACAGUGCUGUCCUCCUUCACCCCACAGCCCAUUUCCAUUCUCUG